UAUUUUGAUUCUGGGGAGUCAUCAGGGGAGAGCAGUGACAGUGAUGAACAACUGAGCGAGGAGGGAGCCCCCUCCGAGCUAAUCUGGAUGAGCUCUCUGAGCUCACUGUUCUUUGUGUGAGGUGGCGCAAAAACAUCUGCCGAGCUGUAACACCUGCUCUAUCUAGUAGAAUUAGGUCUGAAGCAACUGGACUUUUCCCAGUUCAUCUUGGAAACGUUUCCCCAACACAUCCG